rnacentral:rRNA from 1 species
ACUCUUGGCAACAGAUAUCUUGGCUCUCGCAUCGAUGAAGAACGUAGCGAAAUGCGAUACCUGGUGUGAAUUGCAGAAUCCCGCGAACCAUCGAGUCUUUGAAUGCAAGUUGCGCCCAAGGCAACACGGCCGAGGGCAUGCCUGCCUGGGCGUCACACCAAAACACACUCCCAACCACCCUCUUCGGGAGUCGGGAUGCGGCAUUUGGUCCCUUGUCUCACAAGGGGCGGUGGACCGAAGAUCGGGCUGCCGAUGUACUGCGCCAGAUACAGCGCAUGGUGGGCGUCCUCACUUUAUCAACGUAGUGCAUCCGACGCGCAGCCGGCAUUGUGGCCUCAGAAUGACCUAGCAAAUGAAGCGCACGUUGCUUCGACCACGACCCCAGGUCAGGCGGGACUACCCGCUGAGUUUAAGCAUAUAAAUAAGCGGAGGAGAAGAAACUUACAAGGAUUCCCCUAGUAAUGGCGAGCGAACCGGCAGUAGCCCAGCUUGAGAAUCGGGCGGCUGUGCCGUCCGAAUUAUAGUCUGGAGAGGCGUCCUCAGCGACGGACUGGGCCCAAGUCCCCUGGAAAGGGGCGCCUAGGAGGGUGAGAGCCCCGUCCGGCCCGGACCCUGUUGCCCCACGAGGCGCCGUCAACGAGUCUUGUUGUUUGGGAAUGCAGCCCAAAUCAGGCGGUAGACUCCGUCCAAGGCUAAAUACAGGCGAGAGACCGAUAGCGAACAAGUACCGCGAGGGAAGAUGAAAAGGACUUUGAAAAGAGAGUCUAAGAGUGCUUGAAAUUGCCGGGAGGGAAGCGGAUGGGGGCCGGCGAUGCGCCCCGGCCGUAUGCGAAACGGCUCUUGCUGGUCCGCCGCUUGGCUCGGGGUGUGGAUUGUUGUUGGUCGUGCCGGCGGCCAAAGCCCAGGGGGCCUUGGUGCCUCUGGUGGCCGUCGUCGGCACGGCCGGUACCCGCGCGCCGAAAGGCAUGUCCCUCGGGGCACUGCGCUGCAACGUCCUGCGGGCUCCCCAUCCGACCCGUCUUGAAACACGGAUCAAGGAGUCUGACAUGCGUGCGAGUCAACGGGUUCUGAAACCUGGGAUGCGCAAGGAAGCUGACGAGCGGGAGGCUCUCACGGCCCGCACCACUGGCCGAGCCUGAUCUUCUGUGAAGGGUUCGAGUUGGAGCACGCCUGUCGGGACCCAAAAGAUGGUGAACUAUGCCUGAGCGGGGCGAAGCCAGAGGAAACUUUGGUGGAGGCUCGAAGCGAUACUGACGUGCAAAUCAUUCAUCUGACUUGGGUAUAGGGGAGAAAGACUAAUCGAACCAUCUAGUAGCUGGUUCCCUCCGAAGUUUCCCUCAGGAUAGAUGGAGCCCAUUACGAGUUCUAUCAGGUAAAGCCAAUGAUUAGAGGCAUUGGGGACGCAACGUCCUCGACCUAUUCUCAAACUUUAAAUAGGUAGGAUGGCGCGGCUGCUUUGGUGAGCCGUACCAUGAAAUCGCGUGCUCCAAGUGGGACAUUUUUGGUAAGCAGAACUGGCGAUGCGGGAUGAACCGGAAGCCAGGUUACGAUGCCAAACUGCACGCUAACCUAGAACCCACAAAGGGUGUUGGUCGAUUAAGACAGCAGGACGGUGGUCAUGGAAGUCGAAAUCCGCUAAGGAGUGUGUAACAACUCACCCGCCGAAUCAACUGACCCGAAAAUGGAUGGCACUGAAGCGCACAACCCACACCCGGCCAUCUAGGCGAGCGCCAUGCCUCGAUGACUAGGAGAGCGCGGCGGCCGCUACAAAACCCGGGGCACGAGCCUGGGCGGAGCGGCCGUCGGUGCAGAUCUUGGUGGUAGUAGCAAAUAUUCAAAUGAGAACUUUGAAGGCCGAAGAGGAGAAAGGUUCCAUGUGAACGACACUUGCACAUGGGUAAGCCCAUCCUAAGGGACGGGGUCAUGGAGCCUGUGGCUUAAUUUGACUCAACACGGGGAAACUUACCAGGUCCAGACAUAGCAAGGAUUGACAGACUGAGAGCUCUUUCUUGAUUCUAUGGGUGGUGGUGCAUGGCCGUUCUUAGUUGGUGGAGCGAUUUGUCUGGUUAAUUUAAUGAACGAGACCUCAGCCUGCUAACUAGCUAUGUGGAGCCAUCGCUCCGCAGCUAGCUUCUUAGAGGGACUAUCGCCGUUUAGGCGACGGAAGUUUGAGGCAAUAACAGGUCUGUGAUGCCCUUAGAUGUUCUGGGCUGCACGCGCGCUUCACUGAUGUAUUCAACGAGUAUAUAGCCUUGGCCGGCAGGCCCGGGUAAUCUUGGCAAAUUUCAUCGUGAUGGGGAUAGAUCAUUGCAAUUGUUGGUCUUCAACAAGGAAUGCCUAGUAAGUGUGAGUCAUCAGCUCGCGUUGACUAUGUCCCUGCCCUUUGUACACACCUCCCAUCGCUCCUACUGAUUGAAUGGUCCGGUGAAGUCUUCAGAUCGCUGCGACGGGGGCGGUUCGCUGCCCCCGACGUCGCGAGAAGUCCAUUGAAUCUUAUCAUUUAGAGGAAGGAGAAGUCGUAACAAGGUCUCCGUAGGUGAACCUGCGGAAGGAUCAUUGUCGUGACCUUGACCAAAAUAGACCGCGCACGCGUCAUCCAAUAUGUCGGCGAUGGCACCGUCUGUCGCUCGGACAAUGCCUCGACCACCUCCCCUCCUUGGAGCGGGUGGGGGCUCGGGGUAAAAGAGCCCACGACACCGAAGGCAUCAAGGAACACUGUGCCUAACCCAGGGGCAUGGCUAGCUUGCUAGCCGUCCCUCGUGU